CGGGAGGCUCCAGAGCCCUGGAACCUGGCCGUGUUCCACACAAAAGCUCAGCUAGCAACUGCUCUUUACGUACUACAACUACCAAUUCAGAUUAUUUCCAUGAUAGUGCCCAAACAGCAUGGUUCAAUUAAAGUACACAACAAUUUUGGUAUGUCUGGAACUUAUUCCUUGGGCUCCCUGGCUAUCAUUUUUGUUUUAUGGUUGUGAUUUAUUGGUUAUUUGGAUGUAUUUACCAUCAGAAAAAUAUUUUUAGCCACAAUUUUUUUUUGUAAGAGAAGCAUGUAAAGUCUGUUGAAUAAAUGAUGUUAACCAUAAGUUGCUUGUCUUCCUUACCAUGUGUCUAUGAAUAUUGGUAUCGAGAAUGGUGAUGCCUUGGAACCCUGAGGGUAAGUUUUUCGAGUAAAUGUGGCUAAUGUGCAAGAUAGACCAGAGCAGUAAGGGUUGAGGUUGUUUAUAAGAAGCACUUGUCGAAAUCAUGCCUCAUUACAGUGACGCCCAUACAAAAUAUAUCUACAUGUAGUAACAGACAUGUAAGACCCUGUAGAUAUUGUCACCCUGAAGAUAGCGUACAACCAAUAGACACCACUAUUUAUUGAUCAUGGAUAUCUUAAACUAUAAUGUACAAACAUUAUUUUCUAUUUUAAUGAUGUUUGAUAAAAGUGUUGAAUUUUGUGAAUUAAAAAAUAUAAAGGAUUGAAUCCCUA